ACAAAGACAGCUAGAAC
rnacentral:sRNA from 1 species